rnacentral:tRNA from 1 species
GCAGUUAUAGCAAUGGUUCAUAAGCGAGAUCGCCCUGCAUGGCAUGCAGGGGGUCAGCGGUUCGAGUCCGCUUGGCUCCA